UUAGAUUUUGGCGAGGAUGCUGUGCGAGAUGUGGAGACAAAGUUGAAAAUACUCAAGUUCGACUAUAGCUGGGCCGAGGCCAUGGAAGAGGAAGACAGACGACAAGAGGAGGAAAAAAGAAGACAAGAGCAAAUGAAAAAAAUUCUCUUGGAGGUG